rnacentral:rRNA from 1 species
AUUGAACGCUGGCGGCAUGCCUUACACAUGCAAGUCGAACGGUAACGCGGGGCAACCUGGCGACGAGUGGCGAACGGGUGAGUAAUGUAUCGGAACGUGCCCAGUUGUGGGGGAUAACUGCUCGAAAGAGCAGCUAAUACCGCAUACGACCUGAGGGUGAAAGCGGGGGAUCGCAAGACCUCGCGCAAUUGGAGCGGCCGAUAUCAGAUUAGGUAGUUGGUGGGGUAAAGGCCCACCAAGCCAACGAUCUGUAGCUGGUCUGAGAGGACGACCAGCCACACUGGGACUGAGACACGGCCCAGACUCCUACGGGAGGCAGCAGUGGGGAAUUUUGGACAAUGGACGCAAGUCUGAUCCAGCCAUGCCGCGUGCGGGAAGAAGGCCUUCGGGUUGUAAACCGCUUUUGUCAGGGAAGAAAAGGGCGACUUUACUACAGUUGCCUCAUGACGGUACCUGAAGAAUAAGCACCGGCUAACUACGUGCCAGCAGCCGCGGUAAGAC